AGAGGCGGGCGCUGUUGACGUGGCGGGUGUGCGCCGCUCUGGGGUCCCCCGGCCACAGACACACAGACACACAGAGAGAGCAAUGGCGGGCUCGGUGCGGGCGGUGCUCGGGCGCCUGUGGCAGGAGUACGCGGGAGGGACGGCGCUGCGGCUGCAGCUGCUGGACUGUUACCUGCUGUAUAUGGUGCUGAGCGGCGCCGCGCAGUUCCUCUACUGCGGCCUUCUCGGCACCUUCCCCUUCAACUCCUUCCUCUCCGGCUUCAGCGCCUGUUUGGCCGCCUGUGUGUUGGCGGUUUGCCUGCGGAUACAGAUCAACUCCCAGAACAAAGGGGAAUUUGCCGGCAUCUCCCCGGAGCGGGCGUUUGCUGACUUCCUGUUCGCCAGCACCAUCCUCCACCUGGUCGUCAUCAACUUCAUUGGCUGAGAUGAGAGACUGAGGGGAUGAAAAGGAACAUGAUGCAGUUGAGUGCACACUGAUCCUUUCACCUCCGUGAUCUGAUCCAGCACCAGACAGUGAUUUCCUCCGUUACUGGUGCCCCCAAGCUGAUUCUCAGCCUGGUUUUGGACACAGGAUCAAACUACUGAGCACUAUUCUGGGAUUAAGACACACAGACAAUGUGAUCCAGCCGAUGUGAAUAUUGGACCUGUUACAUUGACGGGCAUAAGUAGAGACUUCUUCACUGUGCAUCUCGCCCCUGAUUAGGAGUGCUGCAUGAGAGUGAAUGCUGUGAAGGACUGGGAGGGAUUCCACGAUGUAUCUACUUUUUUUUACACACAAUUUGCUGUUUGAUUCCACAAUGUAAAUAAAACACAGAUUGAUUACA